rnacentral:rRNA from 1 species
GAUGAACGCUGGCGGCGUGCCUAAUACAUGCAAGUCGAGCGAACGGACGAGAAGCUUGCUUCUCUGAUGUUAGCGGCGGACGGGUGAGUAACACGUGGAUAACCUACCUAUAAGACUGGGAUAACUUCGGGAAACCGGAGCUAAUACCGGAUGAUAUUUUGAACCGCAUGGUUCAAAAGUGAAAGACGGUCUUGCUGUCACUUCUCGAUGGAUCCGCGCUGCAUUAGCUAGUUGGUACGGUAACGGCUUACCAAGGCAACGAUGCAUAGCCGACCUGAGAGGGUGAUCGGCCACACUGGAACGGAGACACGGACCAGACUCCUACGGGAGGCAGCAGUAGGGAAUCUUCCGCAAUGGGCGAAAGCCUGACGGAGCAACGCCGCGUGAGUGAUGAAGGUCUUCGGAGCGUAAAACUCUGUUAUUAGGGAAGAACAUAUGUGUAAGUAACUGUGCACAGCGUGACGGUACCUAAUCAGAAAGCCACGGCUAACUACGUG